rnacentral:rRNA from 1 species
CACGUAGGGCGCAAGCGUUGUCCGGAAUUAUUGGGCGUAAAGAGCUCGUAGGCGGUCUGUUGCGUCCGCUGUGAAAACCCGGGGCUUAACCCCUGGCUUGCAGUGGAUACGGACAGACUAGAGGUAGGUAGGGGAGAAUGGAAUUCCCGGUGUAGCGGUGAAAUGCGCAGAUAUCGGGAGGAACACCGGUGGCGAAGGCGGUUCUCUGGGCCUGACCUGACGCUGAGGAGCGAAAGCGUGGGGAGCGAACAGG